CACGCCGCGUGAGGGAUGAAGGCCUCUGGGCUGUAAACCUCUUUUAUCAAGGAAGAAGAUCUGACGGUACUUGAUGAAUAAGCCACGGCUAAUUCCGUGCCAGCAGCCGCGGUAAUACGGGAGUGGCAAGCGUUAUCCGGAAUUAUUGGGCGUAAAGCGUCCGCAGGCGGUUUUACAAGUCUGUCGUUAAAACGUGGAGCUCAACUCCAUUUCGGCGAUGGAAACUGUAAGACUAGAGUGUGGUAGGGGCAGAGGGAAUUCCCGGUGUAGCGGUGAAAUGCGUAGAUAUCGGGAAGAACACCAGUGGCGAAGGCGCUCUGCUGGGCCAUAACUGACGCUCAUGGACGAAAGCCAGGGGAGCGAAAGGGAUUAGAUACCCCUGUAGUCCUGGCCGUAAACGAUGAACACUAGGUGUCGGGGGAAUCGACCCCCUCGGUGUCGUAGCCAACGCGUUAAGUGUUCCGCCUGGGGAGUACGCACGCAAGUGUG
rnacentral:rRNA from 1 species